UGCGAGUCACGCCGCAAGGCGUGGCAUACGGCUCAGUAACACGUAGUCAGCAUGCCCAAAGGACGUGGAUAACCUCGGGAAACUGAGGAUAAACCGCGAUAGGCCAAGGUUUCUGGAAUGAGCCAUGGCCGAAAUCUAUAUGGCCUUUGGAUUGGACUGCGGCCGAUCAGGCUGUUGGUGAGGUAAUGGCCCACCAAACCUGUUACCGGUACGGGCUUUGAGAGAAGGAGCCCGGAGAUGGGCACUGAGACAAGGGCCCAGGCCCUAUGGGGCGCAGCAGGCGCGAAACCUCUGCAAUAGGCGAAAGCCUGACAGGGUUACUCUGAGUGAUGCCCGCUAAGGGUAUCUUUUGGCACCUCUAAAAAUGGUGCAGAAUAAGGGGUGGGCAAGUCUGGUGUCAGCCGCCGCGGUAAUACCAGCACCCCGAGUUGUCGGGACGAUUAUUGGGCCUAAAGCAUCCGUAGCCUGUUCUGCAAGUCCUCCGUUAAAUCCACCUGCUCAACGGAUGGGCUGCGGAGGAUACCGCAGAGCUAGGAGGCGGGAGAGGCAAACGGUACCCAGUGGGUAGGGGUAAAAUCCAUUGAUCUACUGAAGACCACCAGUGGCGAAGGCGGUUUGCCAGAACGCGCUCGACGGUGAGGGAUGAAAGCUGGGGGAGCAAACCGGAUUAGAUACCCGGGUAGUCCCAGCUGUAAACGAUGCAGACUCGGUGAUAGGUUGGCUUCGAGCCAACCCAGUGCCGCAGGGAAGCCGUUAAGUCUGCCGCCUGGGGAGUACGGUCGCAAGACUGAAACUUAAAGGAAUUGGCGGGGGAGCACCACAAGGGGUGAAGCCUGCGGUUCAAUUGGAUUCAACGCCGGG
rnacentral:rRNA from 1 species